rnacentral:rRNA from 1 species
GACGUGACUUCAGAGUUUGAUCCUGGCUCAGGACGAACGCUGGCGGCGUGCCUAACACAUGCAAGUCGAACGGAGUUAUUCCUUCGGGGAUAACUUAGUGGCGGACGGGUGAGUAACGCGUGAGUAACCUGCCUUUCAGAGGGGGAUAACGUUCUGAAAAGAUCGCUAAUACCGCAUGAGACUACAGAGCUGCAUGGCUCAGUGGUCAAAGGAGCAAUCCGCUGAAAGAUGGACUCGCGUCCGAUUAGAUAGUUGGCGGGGGUAACGGCCCACCAAGUCGACGAUCGGUAGCCGGACUGAGAGGUUGAACGGCCACAUUGGGACUGAGACACGGCCCAG